GGGUCAGUAUGGUGUAGUGGUUUGGGUGUUGGACUACAACUCUGGAGACCAGGGUUCGAAUCCCUGCUGAGCUA